CUCUUGCCUGCCACCAUGUAAGGCGUGUCUUUGCUCCUCCCUUGCCUCCUGCCAUGAUUGUGAGGCCUCCCCAGCCAUGUGGAACUGCCUGGCCAGAACUUCCAAAACUAUGUUGAAAAAGAGCCAAUAUAGCCAAGAUGAUCCUAAGCAAAAAGAACAAAGCUGGAGGCAUUAUGCUGUCUGACUUCAAAUUAUACUACAAGGAAGUCAGGGACUCUGAACGGAGGGACCAACUGGAGCUGCAGCAGAGGAACAUAAAUUGUGAAGAUUUCAUGGACAUUCACCAGUUUCCAAAUAAUACUCUUAUAAUUUCUUACACCUGUCUUAAUUUAAUCUCUUAAUCCUGUUAUCUUUGUAAGCUGAGGAUGUACAUCACCUCAGGACCACUGUGAUAAUUGUGUUAACUGUACAAAUUGAUUGUAAAACAUGUGUGUUUGAACAAUAUGAAAUCAGUUCACCUUGAAAAAGAACAGAAUAACAGCGAUUUUCAGGGAACAAGGGAAGACAACCAUAAGGUCUGACUGCCUGUGAGGUCGGGCAAAACAGAGCCAUAUUUUUCUUCGUGCAGACAGCCUAUAAAUGGACGUGUAAGUAGGGAAGAUAUUGAUAAAUUCUUUUCCUAGCAAGGAGUAUUAAUAAUUAAUACCGUGGGGAAGAAUGCAUUCCUGGCGGGAGGUCUAUAAACAGUUGCUCUGGGAGUGCCGGUCUUAAGUGGUUGAGAUAAGGACCAAAAUACGCCCUGGUCUCCUGCAGUACCCUCAGGCUUACUAGGUUGGAGAAAAACCUCGCCCUGGUAAAUUUGACAUCAGAUUGGUUCUCUGCUCUCAAACCCUGUUUUCUGUUGUUUAAGAUGUUUAUCAAGACAAUAUGUGCACAGCUGAACACAGACCCUUAUCAGUAGUUCUGUUUUGCCUUGUCCUGUUUCCUCAGAAGCAUGUGAUCUUUGUUCUGCUUUUUGCCCUUUGAAGCAUGUGAUCUUGUGACCCACUCCCUGUACUUGCACCCCCUCCCAUUUUGAAGUCCUUAAUAAAACUUGCUGGUUUUGCGGCUCA